rnacentral:rRNA from 1 species
UACGUAGGUGGCAAGCGUUGUCCGGAUUUAUUGGGUUUAAAGGGUGCGUAGGCGGCUUUGUAAGUCAGUGGUGAAAUAUGGCAGCUCAACUGUCAAGGUGCCAUUGAUACUGCAGAGCUUGAGUACAGAUGAGGUAGGCGGAAUUGACGGUGUAGCGGUGAAAUGCUUAGAUAUCGUCAAGAACACCUAUAGCGAAAGGCAGCUCGCUGGGACGGUACUGACGCUGAGACGCGAAAGCGUGGGGAGCAAACAGG